ACAAUUGGCGGCGUGCUAUACAUGCAAGUCGAGCGGACAGAUGGGAGCUUGCUCCCUGAUGUUAGCGGCGGACGGGUGAGUAACACGUGGGUAACCUGCCUGUAAGACUGGGAUAACUCCGGGAAACCGGGGCUAAUACCGGAUGGUUGUUUGAACCGCAUGGUUCAAACAUAAAAGGUGGCUUCGGCUACCACUUACAGAUGGACCCGCGGCGCAUUAGCUAGUUGGUGAGGUAACGGCUCACCAAGGCAACGAUGCGUAGCCGACCUGAGAGGGUGAUCGGCCACACUGGGACUGAGACACGGCCCAGACUCCUACGGGAGGCAGCAGUAGGGAAUCUUCCGCAAUGGACGAAAGUCUGACGGAGCAACGCCGCGUGAGUGAUGAAGGUUUUCGGAUCGUAAAGCUCUGUUGUUAGGGAAGAACAAGUACCGUUCGAAUAGGGCGGUACCUUGACGGUACCUAACCAGAAAGCCACGGCUAACUACGUGCCAGCAGCCGCGGUAAUACGUAGGUGGCAAGCGUUGUCCGGAAUUAUUGGGCGUAAAGGGCUCGCAGGCGGUUUCUUAAGUCUGAUGUGAAAGCCCCCGGCUCAACCGGGGAGGGUCAUUGGAAACUGGGGAACUUGAGUGCAGAAGAGGAGAGUGGAAUUCCACGUGUAGCGGUGAAAUGCGUAGAGAUGUGGAGGAACACCAGUGGCGAAGGCGACUCUCUGGUCUGUAACUGACGCUGAGGAGCGAAAGCGUGGGGAGCGAACAGGAUUAGAUACCCUGGUAGUCCACGCCGUAAACGAUGAGUGC
rnacentral:rRNA from 1 species